rnacentral:rRNA from 1 species
AUUGAACGCUGGCGGCAGGCCUAACACAUGCAAGUCGAGCGGAGUGGCGAACGGGUGAGUAACACGUGGGUGACCUGCCCUGCACUUCGGGAUAAGCCUGGGAAACUGGGUCUAAUACCGGAUAGUGUGGGAUGGGCCCGCGGCCUAUCAGCUUGUUGGUGGGGUAAUGGCCUACCAAGGCGGCGACGGGUAGCCGGCCUGAGAGGGUGGACGGCCAAAUUGGGACAGAGGCACGGCUCAGACUCCUACGGGAGGCAGCAGUGGGGAAUAUUGCACAAUGGGCGGAAGCCUGAUGCAGGGACGCCGGGUGGGGGAUGACGGCCUGCGGGUUGUAAACUCCUUUCACCAGGGACGCGGUAGAUGGAGAAGAAGCACCGGCUAACUACGUGCCAGCAGCCGCGGUAAUAC